GACGAACGCUGGCGGCGUGCUUAACACAUGCAAGUCGAACGGAAAGGCCCUGCUUUUGUGGGGUGCUCGAGUGGCGAACGGGUGAGUAACACGUGAGUAACCUGCCCUUGACUUUGGGAUAACUUCAGGAAACUGUGGCUAAUACCGGAUAGGAUCUCCUGCUGCAUGGUGGGGGUUGGAAAGUUUCGGCGGUUGGGGAUGGACUCGCGGCUUAUCAGCUUGUUGGUGGGGUAGUGGCUUACCAAGGCUUUGACGGGUAGCCGGCCUGAGAGGGUGACCGGCCACAUUGGGACUGAGAUACGGCCCAGACUCCUACGGGAGGCAGCAGUGGGGAAUAUUGCCCAAUGGGCGGAAGCCUGAUGCAGCAACGCCGCGUGCGGGAUGACGGCCUUCGGGUUGUAAACCGCUUUCGCCUGUGACGAAGCGUGAGUGACGGUAAUGGGUAAAGAAGCACCGGCUAACUACGUG
rnacentral:rRNA from 1 species